rnacentral:rRNA from 1 species
GUGGCGAACGGGUGAGUAAUGCGUCGGAACGUACCGAGUAAUGGGGGAUAACGCACCGAAAGGUGUGCUAAUACCGCAUACGCCCUGAGGGGGAAAGCAGGGGAUCGCAAGACCUUGCGUUAUUCGAGCGGCCGACGUCUGAUUAGCUAGUUGGUGGGGUAAAGGCCUACCAAGGCGACGAUCAGUAGCGGGUCUGAGAGGAUGAUCCGCCACACUGGGACUGAGACACGGCCCAGACUCCUACGGGAGGCAGCAGUGGGGAAUUUUGGACAAUGGGGGCAACCCUGAUCCAGCCAUUCCGCGUGAGUGAAGAAGGCCUUCGGGUUGUAAAGCUCUUUCAGCUGGAACGAAACGGUGAGCUCUAACAUAGCUUGCUAAUGACGGUACCAGCAGAAGAAGCACCGGCUAACUACGUGCCAGCAGCCGCGGUAAUACGUAGGGUGCGAGCGUUAAUCGGAAUUACUGGGCGUAAAGCGUGCGCAGGCGGAUUGUUAAGCAAGAUGUGAAAUCCCCGGGCUUAACCUGGGAAUGGCAUUUUGAACUGGCAGUCUAGAGUGUGUCAGAGGGGGGUGGAAUUCCACGUGUAGCAGUGAAAUGCGUAGAGAUGUGGAGGAACACCGAUGGCGAAGGCAGCCCCCUGGGAUAACACUGACGCUCAUGUACGAAAGCGUGGGUAGCAAACAGGAUUAGAUACCCUGGUAGUCCACGCCCUAAACGAUGUCAACUGGUUGUUGGGGGAGUGAAAUCCCUUAGUAACGAAGCUAACGCGUGAAGUUGACCGCCUGGGGGAGUACGGUCGCAAGAUUAAAACUCAAAGGAAUUGACGGGGACCCGCACAAGCGGUGGAUGAUGUGGAUUAAUUCGAUGCAACGCGAAAAACCUUACCUACCCUUGACAUGUCCGGAAUCCUGCAGAGAUGCGGGAGUGCCCGAAAGGGAAUCGGAACACAGGUGCUGCAUGGCUGUCGUCAGCUCGU